rnacentral:rRNA from 1 species
CACGUAGGGCGCGAGCGUUGUCCGGAAUUAUUGGGCGAAAAGAGCUCGUAGGCGGCCUGUUGCGUCCGCUGUGAAAGCCCGGGGCUUAACCCCGGGUCGGCAGUGGAUACGGGCAGGCUAGAGGUAGGUAGGGGAGAAUGGAAUUCCCGGUGUAGCGGUGAAAUGCGCAGAUAUCGGGAGGAACACCGGUGGCGAAGGCGGUUCUCUGGGCCUUACCUGACGCUGAGGAGCGAAAGCGUGGGGAGCGAACAGG